AAAGAUUAAGCCAUGCAAGUGUCAGUACAAACUAGAAUAAAGUAAGACCGCGAAUGGCUCAGUAAAUCAGUUGCAGUUUAUUUGAUGUUUGACAAUCACAGUAAUGGAUAACUGUGGUAAUUCCAGAGCUAAUACAUGCAAAAUUGUCGCCCGAAUCGCUUCGGCGAGGAAGACGACGCACUUGUCUGAGAGAUAAAACCCGACGUAUUGAAAAAGUUGAUGCAGGACAAUUAGAAAUGAUCGCACGUGCCCAGAGCACGGCGACGCAUCAUUCAAGUGCCUGCUCUAUCAACUGUUGAUGGUCGGCUAUGAGCUUACCAUGGUGGUAACGGGUGACGGGGAAUCAGGGUUCGAUUCCGGAGAGGGAGCCUGAGAAAUUGCUACCACAUCCAAGGAAGGCAGCAGGCGCGCAAAUUACCCACUCCCGGCACGGGGAGGUAGUGACGAAGCAUACCGAUGCGGGACUCCCAUCCGAGGCCCCGUGAUCGGAUUGAGACGGGUACAGAGAACCCGAAAAGCAUACUGGAGG
rnacentral:rRNA from 1 species